CUUAUCUCCAUUGUAUCCCUUGUCACCAUCCAAUCUGUGUUUGUGAUUUGGGUACAGUUUCUAGGACUGGAUCGCAAGCUUCAUGAGGUGUCAGAUCCUUUUCUUGAUGUCACAACACUAAACUGGUACUCGAACCGUGGUUCCGGAUCCUACACACGCUGUUUGCCUAACUGACUGUUUGAGAGCUUGGCUGUGUUGAAUCUGUGUAGUGACCUGCUGAAGGUGAAUUGCUGAGCUUGGCAGCCCUCCUCCAGUACACUGCUGUAAUGAAAAUUGGCAGCUUUUGAGAAAAACAGUAACCAUUUUGAGGAGAGCACCUGCUACAUGGACCAUAAACAGCACAAGAACCUCUCCAGCCCAAAUAUGAUGCCAUUCUUCAAAUGUAUUAGAGAAAACCCUGUUAGAUUGUCAGAGGUCAGUCAGUCUAAGCACAGGAGAUGGGCUGAACAUUCUGUCCCAAAUGUCUUAUCAUCCAUAAUGGUGCUCACAAUGAUCAGAAGUUUGCAGAUUAAGGGCAAUGAUGUCCCAAGGUCAUUAU